rnacentral:lncRNA from 1 species
UCCUACUUCAUCUCCAGGCUACAGUCCUUCAUCUCCAGGAUAUAGUCCAUCAUCGCCUGGAUAUAGUCCUACAUCACCGGGAUACAGUCCUACAUCGCCUGGAUAUAGUCCUACCUCACCUGGAUAUAGCCCUACUUCACCAACUUACAGCCCUAGUUCUCCUGGCUAUAGUCCUACGAGUCCUGCAUAUUCUCCUACAAGUCCAUCCUAUUCACCCACGUCGCCUAGCUACAGCCCCACUUCUCCGAGCUACAGUCCCACCUCCCCAAGCUACAGCCCCACCUCUCCUAGUUACAGCCCCACCUCUCCAAGCUAUAGCCCGACUUCCCCAAGCUAUAGUCCAACUUCGCCAGUUUAUAGCGCUUAUAGCCCCACUUCACCGGCCUAUAGCCCCACCUCACCAUCUUACAGCCCUACAUCCCCUUCUUACAGCCCAACUUCCCCUUCAUACAGCCCAACAUCACCAUCCUACAGCCCAACAUCUCCAUCAUACAGCCCUACCUCCCCAGCGUAUAGCCCAACAUCCCCUGGCUAUAGCCCAACCUCACCAAGCUACAGCCCGACAUCACCAAGCUACGGUC